CCUACGGGAGGCAGCAGUGGGGAAUUUUCCGCAAUGGGCGAAAGCCUGACGGAGCAAUACCGCGUGAGGGAGGAAGGCUCUUGGGUCGUAAACCUCUUUUCUCAAGGAAGAUAAUGACGGUACUUGAGGAAUAAGCAUCGGCUAACUCCGUGCCAGCAGCCGCGGUAAUACGGAGGAUGCAAGCGUUAUCCGGAAUGAUUGGGCGUAAAGAGUCCGUAGGUGGUAAUUCAAGUCUGUGGUUAAAGCGUGGAGCUCAACUCCAUAAGGGCCAUGGAAACUGAAUAACUAGAGUGAGGUAGGGGUAGAGGGAAUUCUCGGUGUAGCGGUGAAAUGCGUAGAUAUCGGGAAGAACACCGGUGGCGAAAGCGCUCUACUGGACCUUAACUGACACUGAGGGACGAAAGCUAGGGGAGCGAAAGGGAUUAGAUACCCCUGUAGUCCUAGCCGUAAACGAUGGAUACUAGGUGUUGCCCGUAUCGACCCGGGCAGUGCGUACGCUACGACGUAGUAUCCGCCGUCGGGUAGGUACGCGACGCGAGUAGUAGAACUACGAAGAAGUAGACGGCGUGAGACGNGUCCGAACGGACGACGACGAGGGAGGUUAGG
rnacentral:rRNA from 1 species